GAACAAUGUGUGGGUUUUUCGUUCGCAAAUAUUAUUUCAUUUCAAUUUCAUGUCCGUAACUAAUCGUACUUGUAGUUCUCGGUUGAGGUUGAUCAUUAUCGAAAUUCGUACUUCGUAGAAGAAAUCGCAUCGUGAAAUGUUGUUGUUUCGAGAAAGCGUACACGUCGAGAAGUGUACGAAUACGAAACCUUCUUGUAUGACUUCUCCGGUUCUUGGCUCGUGGAUUUUUGAAGUUUUUUUUUUUUUUUUUCGAUGAUCGAAUCAAAUGCCGUCGUAGUUUUGUCUAAAUUUCAUUCGCGAACCGUUUGUGUGAAAUUUUUCGCGAUUUUUCGAGGGUUGGGCGAAAAAUUCGCGUUGAUUUACUCGUAUUUACGGCUUCGUGCGGUAAAUUAAGGUGUAGGUAUGGUUCGGUUCCGAGAAUGAAGGUGUUGAGGAGUUUUUCCAGGUAUCAAUUUUGAUGUCUGGUCUGGUGAGUUUUGAUUAUUUUCCGUAAAGAAUUGUUCGAUAUAAACGAUAACUCGAGUGGGUGAGUUACAAAAUGGCAAUUUUCCUAUAAUUCGACCUUAUGAUUUUUCAAACUUUUAGUUCGAUCGUGACGUAAAUUGCGGUGCCAUGAUUGGUAAAACAUUUUGUGUUUCCGACAUUUUUCAUGCUGAGUAAUUUCAGAAUCUCAGAGUACUGGUUUCGAGUUCAGUUUUACAAUUUUUAGAGCAAUUUACUUCCCUUUAAUAUCAGAUAGUUUUAUCAAAAAAAAAAAAAAAAAAAAAAAAAAACUUGAAAAAUUAAGAACAUGAUUU